rnacentral:rRNA from 1 species
AUACGUAGGUCGCAAGCGUUAAUCGGAAUUACUGGGCGUAAAGCGUGCGCAGGCGGUUCGGAAAGAAGGAUGUGAAAUCCCAGGGCUCAACCUUGGCACUGAAUUCUUAACUACCGAACUAGAGUAUGUCAGAGGGGGGUAGAAUUCCGCGUGGAGAAGUGAAAUGCGUAGAUAUGCGGAGGAAUACCGAUGGCGAAGGCAGCCCCCUGGAAUAAUACUGACGCUCAUGCACGAAAGCGUGGGUAGCAAACAGGAUUAGAUACCCUGGUAGUCCACGCCCUAAACGAUGUCAACUAGCUGUUGGGCCCUUCGGGGCUUAGUAGCGUAGCUAACGCGUGAAGUUGACCGCCUGGGGAGUACGGUCGCAAGAUUAAAACUUAAAGGAAUUGGCGGG